UUCGGGAGUCAAUUGCCUUUGG
rnacentral:siRNA from 1 species